rnacentral:rRNA from 1 species
CCUACGGGUGGCAGCAGUGGGGAAUAUUGCACAAUGGGCGAAAGCCUGAUGCAGCAACGCCGCGUGAAGGAAGAAGGCCUUCGGGUCGUAAACUUCUGUCCUUGGGGAAGAAGAACUGACGGUACCCAAGGAGGAAGCCCCGGCUAACUCCGUGCCAGCAGCCGCGGUAAUACGGAGGAUGCGAGCGUUAUCCGGAUUUAUUGGGUUUAAAGGGUGCGUAGGCGGACUGUUAAGUCAGCGGUAAAAGCCCGGGGCUCAACCCCGGCGAGCCGUUGAAACUGGCUGUCUUGAGAUGUCGAGGGGUAUGCGGAAGGCGCAGUGUAGCGGUGAAAUGCUUAGAUAUUGCGCAGAACUCCGAUUGCGAAGGCAGCAUACCGGCGGCGAUCUGACGCUGAGGCACGAAAGCGUGGGUAUCGAACAGGAUUAGAUACCCCAGUAGUC